rnacentral:tRNA from 1 species
GGGCGGUUAGCUCAAUUGGUCAGAGCGCCUCCCUUACAAGGAGGAGGUUACAGGUUCGAGUCCCGUACCGCCCA